AGGGGUGUGGACCGUGGGGAAAGGAAGGGGUUAAAACGGGCUCGUAGGUAGAAGCUGGUGCUCCUCCUCCUGCUUUUCUUCUUCUUCUCGGCCUACCUUGGCAACCGUCUCCUAGGGAAACUGGGAAAGAAGGGUGAGGCUCAGCUGCACCUCUGCUAUCUCAGGGCGGAAUCUUCUGGGAAGACAGUUUACCUCUCCCAGAGUUCAAGAUUACAUUCUCCAAAGGUUCCAGUUCGAGCGAGAGAGACUGAAUAAGAAACUAGGGCCAACUCGCAGGCAAGCCGGGCCCACAUUCCCUGAGUCACACAAAGACGGAGAGCCACUGAUGCCGGCAAGCCCAUGAGCAUAACUAGCAUCCCCAUGGCAACGGCAGAUGAUGGAUUCUCAACGUGACAUCACAAGUGGCAAGCGGCGCGCCGGCAAUAUUUCCUAACAGGAGUGAUCGGUGCCUAUUACAGCUGCUGCCAGAGCUCAAGAAAAGCGGUGGAUCGGCAAAAGCUGGCAGAUUUCUACAGAGGUGCCGGGAGGACGAGAAUAAAGCCAGGGAAAGCAGCAUUUUUUAAAAGCUGGAAUGCCAGAACGGAUAUCGCUCUUCUAACGCACACGGCUUCCAUCUACAAAGUCAAGCAUCGGGGAAAGAGAAAGAUGGUGAAACGUCUUGAUCCGGCCGUUUUCAGACCUUUUACCUCUUCCAUCCUGCUGCGGAUGCAAAACAAACUUGUUUGAAUUGCACCGUAGCCUUUUUUAUGUGGAGAAGUAAGGCGUGUUGCCUGGAGAAUUUGUACCUUCGGCAAAGCUUAG